CGUACUUUGCAGACUCUUUCCAUACGAGGAAGUCUUUAGGACCCAGCAAAAACCUUUCUGAUGGAAGGAAUCUUUUCCAGGCCAGAGUACUUCAAUCCUCCCCCGGUGUGUUGAAUUCCAGCCCACUGUCGAAUUCAUUUGAUUUCUUUCUUUUCUGCUGACUUGCUGCAAGCGUUUUAAUGAAUAAGAGGGGAAUUCCAAGGAUUCAAAGAGUGGAAAAUGAAGCUAAGCGGGGGACUUACAGGAAACAGGAGUUACUGGACAGAAAGUAAAGUUUAUCGGUAAAGGAAAUUGUAAGUCAGAGGCACAAAGAAAUUCCUUCACAUCAGCCUGUGGCUGCACAAGUAUCAUUAUACCAGUGAAAGUGCAGUUUCUCGGGAAUGCUCUCAAGAACUCAUUCUUCGUGUGUAAGCUUGGAAUGGGAGUACAAUGCAGCCCCAGUCUGCUCAAUCUCUCCUCACAUGGCAAACCCGCCAGUCCUGGAACCAAGGAAUCGUUGCUUCGUUUCCUUUACGGCAAGUACAUCCUUCAUAAGAUAUUUAAGGAGUGCAUAAAUUUGAAUCUCAAGACAACUAUCAACACAUUGUCCUCCAGUUAAUAUUCUGCAUAGCUGUGCACAGAUUCACGUAUCAAAUAUGUUAUCCCAAGUAGCCGUUACACCAUGCAAGUACCCAAGUACUGGAUGUUGCACACCACAAUGAAAUCCAAUCCAAAACAGCCACAUAGCAAUUUUAAGUACGCUUACUUGACAGCAAUAGGAAUCAUAGGCUCCGAUUGCUAUUCCUCGCCCAAGCUCAUUGGCACAGCGAUCAAUUAAUGUAUCCCUGCAGCUAUCUGUCUGAAGUCAACUAUUUACACACACUGCAAAUCUAAUCAGGUCUGCAUGGUUGAGAUACCACUUGUUUUAAUAAAUAAGAUGGAUUAAAGUAGCUAUUAUAAAUGAGACUAAAUUAAUUCAGAGAAACAUCAUGUUGGCACCAAGAGAAGACCCAGAAUCCAGUGAAAUUAUCCUAUGACCUUGGAAGCA